CACCUUCCACCCACAGGGAGCACCCUGGCACGGAGAACCGGUGUCUUCGUUUCCUACUGGUCUUUUCUAUCGUUCCAGUUACUCAGGCACAAGAAACGGAAAGCUCAGAUGGAAUUGCCAAGGUGUCAGAAUAGCCAAAAUGAUCUUGAAAAAGAUAAAGUUGGAGGACUCAAACUUCUCAAUUUCAAAGCUUACUACAAAGCUACAGUGAUCAAGAUAGUAUGGUACUAUCUAGAUAUGUAGAUCAAUGGAUUAGAAUUGAAAGACCAGAAAUAAACCUAUAGAUCUAUGUUCAA